AUUCAUCGUUAUGCUCCUGUGCUUUGUGACAUGGCACAAUGAGACUGAAGCCUUGAAAACGGUAUGAAUUAUGCCUUUGUAGGUAAAGAUUCCAGCAUCUUUGAAGCAAGUGCUCCACUGGAAAAUGAAAGCGACGUGGAGCACUUGAUUAGACUCCAGAAGCAGAAACUGCAGCUGCUCCCACCACCCCCACCACCGCUGGCCCUGCCCGGGGCACAGCCAACCACACAAGUGCAAGUGCAGCCAUCACCCCCCUACCACAGCACAGCCCCCAGCUCCCCACGGUCACGGCCCCGAGGCCCAGAGCCCUGCUGAUGGGCACACCAUGGCCAAUCUCCAGGUAGCCCGGCUCGUAAGCGUUCAGUCAUCAUUGCUUUUUUUUUUUUUGAGAAGGAUUUUCACUCUUGUUGCCCGGGCUGGAGUGCAAUGGCCUGAUCUUGGCUCAUUACAACCUUCCCCUCCUGGGUUCAAGUGAUUCUCCUGCGUCAGCCUCCCCAGUAGCUGGGAUUACAGGCAUGCACCACCACGCCCGGCUAAUUUUGUAUUUUUAGUAGAGACCGGGUUUCACCAUGUUGGCCAGGCUGGUCUCAAACUCCUGAUCUCAGGUGAUCCGCCCACCUCAGCCUCCCAAAGUGCUGGGAUUAUAGGCGUGAGCCACCAUGCCCGGCCUCAUCUUUGUUUUUAAUACCUGAGGCGGGUUGAUGAUUCCAGUCCCUGAGGAAGGAUAACACGGUGUGACAGGGCAGGGCAUGUGCGAUCCUUGUUUCUUGUUAUUUAGACUCGAGUUUCCACCUCCCACCUGCAAGGCCCAAGACUGAUGUCAGCACUGACGUCCCAGAUGGCCCAGGUUGCUCUGGCCAGGCCUCCUGUGGUGUCUGUCUUGGCAGUUGUGGUGUUGUCAGCCAGGGUCACAGCGCUUCCAUCAACGCAACGGGAUCCGUGUUGUGAUAAGGCAGCUGCAGAAAGCGGCAGGUAGGCAGCCACCUUCGCCUCACCAAACUCGAAACAACUCACUUGAGUGAGUUGCAUCAAACCUUUCUAAAUUUCUCAUUCUAGAAGUUGCUGAGUUGUUCUGCCAUGUGUUAAUUUUUGAAGAUGCCUAAUUACAGCCUCAUUCCUUGCACCUCCCCCUUUUAAGCAAAUAGAGCAGAGGCCGCUGUACCCGCCGGCGAGAGCUGCUUGCCUCUAUUAAGGGGAGGUGCGGCAUGGGCGUUAUUUCUCCUUUUUAAGGCAGCAGGCAUUUCCUUUACUGUCAUUGCCAUGCAGUUUACUCCUCUGAGCAAAUCAGCGGCAAUGACGAGUGUGAGAUGCAGAUCCUUGUCCAUGUGCGUUUCGUGUGUCCUGUAUGCUGUCUCUGUGCUGUCACCACAGGGGGCCAGAUUGGCUGUGCAGCCUCUGCACAUGCAGCAGCUCCGAAAGCUGAAACACUACCAGCGGCAAAAAGCUGUGCAGCCCUCGGCCGCCCCAGGCCCACUGCUGCACAGCAGAAGGUAAGUGGCCGCUCGGCUUUGUGGGAGCUGCAUCUCACGCUCAUUGUUCAGGCCCCUUAGGCCAGAGUGGGGCUGGACUCCGCCCCUUCCUUUUGGAGGCAGCCGAUAAGCAGAGCUGAAGAGGCUCCCUGCAUGGGCUCCUGGAGGUGGGGAGGGGCCGAGUGUCAAGGAACUCUGACCCUGUAAUUUUUACAUAUAUUUGCUCUCUAGGGGAGAGCUUGCUUUGCUGUACAGUAUAAUUUUUCAAAAAUAUUUACAAUGAUUUCUGUGAAAAAUCACUCUGACAAGGACUUCUAUUUCUGGUAAUAUGGUAGAUGAGAGAACCUGAAAAUCUAUCUCAACAAAACAUCUAAAAAUGCCAGAUUUUCAAAAAGUGCCAGAUAAAAUAUAUAAAACCGUGAAUGAGUCUGCAGGAUAGCGAGUCUAGAAACCAGGCGAGGGCUGAAGUCUGAGGAGGUAGGUCUGUGCUAAAAACACUCUAUGGCCUGGGUCCCCAUGGACCCAGAUGACCUAGAACUUUGAGGUGAGUUUGGGGAGCAGUCUGGAGAAGCCUUGGGCCCAGGGAAGGGCAGAACCAAAUUGGAGACCCCCAUAUAAGGCUGGGCUCACAAAGGGAUACAGCAAACACUACCAGGAAAUGAUGAAGUGGGCAAACUACUACUCUAAGCUUCACUGCAGGAACAGUAUCUCACUUGCCCAUGGCUGUGGAUGGAACAUCUUUAAAAAGUCUCUCCUAUAAAUUUAUGGCCCCCGGCUAGCACUCUCCACCACAGGUGUAGGGCCAAAGUUCAUAUUAUUUACAUGUUCAAAAGAACUGCAAACUGUGACUUUUAAUUGCAAGCAUAUCUGGAGCUAUACUGCCCCCAGGCCUCUGGUAGAAAGAAAUGUACAUCCUCGCAGGAGUAACCCCCAACCCAGGCCUCAAGGAAUUCCAGCCAGCAGGAACCCUAGACUAUAAGCUCAUAGUGGAAAAUCACAGCACACACAAGAGAAGGGGCCUCAGAAGUGGUGGCCAAAAGAACCACACCUGCAAAGACUCAGAUGUUAGAACAGGAAAUGCAAAUAUGUUUAAUGUGUUUCAAGAAACAAAGGAGAAGCUAAAAAGCAUGAAUAAGAAGCAAGAGAUUAUCAGAGGCUAAGCAGAUAAUAAAUGAACCAAAUAGAACCUUUAAAAAUGAAAAAUGUAAUAACUGAAAUUCAAAACUUAAUGGAAGUAAUCUUGAUCCCUACCUCACACCCCAUAGAAAAUUAACUCAAUGGAUCAUAGACCCAAAUAUAAAAUUCAAAACUAUGAAACAUAGGAAAAAUGUUUUGUGGCUAUAGGUUAAGUAAACACUUCUUAGAUAUGACACCAAAAAUAGAGCCUAUAAAAGGAAAAAAUUGGCAAGUCAUACUUUAAUAAAAUUAAACCUUCUUGCUAUAUGAAAACCAUUGUUUAGAGAAUGAAAAGACAAGUUACCGGGAGAAAACCUUUGCCAGUCAUGUAGCUGAUUAAGGACAUGUAACCAGAACAUACAAAAAACUGUCAAAGCUUACUAAUACAAAAACAACUUAUUUUGUAAAGUGGGCAACAGAUUUGAGCAGACACUCCACCAAAGAAGCUCUCUAGGUGGCAAAUAAGCACUGUCCUCUGGGAAAUGCAAAUCAAAAUCACAAUGAGAAACUACUGCACACCCGUGAGAAUGCCUUAAAAAAAAAAAGACAAGACCAAAACCAAGUGUUAGUGAGGGUGUGGAACAACAGAAAUUCUCAUACCUUGUUGGUGGGACCACAAGAUAUUGGAGCCCUCUGGAAUCAGUUUGGCAGUUUCUUAUAAAAUAAAACAAUCAUUUACUGUAUGACCCAGCAA